rnacentral:rRNA from 1 species
CCUACGGGAGGCAGCAGUGGGGAAUAUUGGACAAUGGGCGAAAGCCUGAUCCAGCAAUGCCGCGUGAGUGAUGAAGGCCUUAGGGUCGUAAAGCUCUUUUACCCGGGAUGAUAAUGACAGUACCGGGAGAAUAAGCCCCGGCUAACUCCGUGCCAGCAGCCGCGGUAAUACGGAGGGGGCUAGCGUUGUUCGGAAUUACUGGGCGUAAAGCGUGCGUAGGCGGUUAUUCAAGUCAGAGGUGAAAGCCCGGGGCUCAACCCCGGAACGGCCUUUGAAACUAGGUAGCUAGAAUCUUGGAGAGGUCAGUGGAAUUCCGAGUGUAGAGGUGAAAUUCGUAGAUAUUCGGAAGAACACCAGUGGCGAAGGCGACUGACUGGACAAGUAUUGACGCUGAGGCACGAAAGCGUGGGGAGCAAACAGGAUUAGAUACCCUGGUAGUCCACGCCGUAAACGAUGAUAACUAGCUGUUCGGGUACUUGGUAUCUGAGUGGCGCAGCUAACGCAUUAAGUUAUCCGCCUGGGGAGUACGGUGCAAGAUUAAAACUANAAGAAAUUGACGG